CUACGGGCGGCAGCAGUGGGGAAUAUUGCACAAUGGAGGAAACUCUGAUGCAGCCAUGCCGCGUGUGUGAAGAAGGCCCGAGGGUUGUAAAGCACUUUCAGUUGGGAGGAAGGUUAUGUAGUUAAUACCUGCAUAAUUUGACGUUACCUUCAGAAGAAGCACCGGCUAACUCUGUGCCAGCAGCCGCGGUAAUACAGAGGGUGCAAGCGUUAUUCGGAAUUACUGGGCGUAAAGCGCGCGUAGGCGGACUGUUAAGUCGGUUGUGAAAGCCCUGGGCUCAACCUGGGAAUGGCAUCCGAACUGGCAAUCUAGAAUUUAAGAGAGGGAAGGGGAAUUCCUAGUGUAGCAGUGAAAUGCGUAGAUAUUAGGAGGAACAUCAGUGGCGAAGGCGCCUUCCUGGCUUAAAAUUGACGCUGAGGUGCGAAAGCGUGGGUAGCGAACGGGAUUAGAUACCCUGGUAGUC
rnacentral:rRNA from 1 species